UAGGGAAUCUUCCACAAUGGACGAAAGUCUGAUGGAGCAACGCCGCGUGAGUGAAGAAGGUUUUCGGAUCGUAAAGCUCUGUUGUUGGUGAAGAAGGAUAGAGGCAGUAACUGGUCUUUAUUUGACGGUAAUCAACCAGAAAGUCACGGCUAACUACGUGCCAGCAGCCGCGGUAAUACGUAGGUGGCAAGCGUUGUCCGGAUUUAUUGGGCGUAAAGCGAGCGCAGGCGGAAUGAUAAGUCUGAUGUGAAAGCCCACGGCUCAACCGUGGAACUGCAUCGGAAACUGUCAUUCUUGAGUGCAGAAGAGGAGAGUGGAACUCCAUGUGUAGCGGUGGAAUGCGUAGAUAUAUGGAAGAACACCAGUGGCGAAGGCGGCUCUCUGGUCUGCAACUGACGCUGAGGCUCGAAAGCAUGGGUAGCGAACAGGAUUAGAUGCCCUGGUAGUCCAUGCCGUAAACGAUGAGCGCUAGGUGUUGGGGACUUUCC
rnacentral:rRNA from 1 species